rnacentral:tRNA from 3 species
CUGUAGCUCAGCUGGAUAGAGCAUCGGCCUUCUAAGCCGAGGGUCGGGGGUUCGAAUCCCUUCAGGC